rnacentral:rRNA from 1 species
GACGAACGCUGGCGGCGUGCCUAAUACAUGCAAGUAGAACGCUGAAGGAGGAGCUUGCUUCUCUGGAUGAGUUGCGAACGGGUGAGUAACGCGUAGGUAACCUGCCUGGUAGCGGGGGAUAACUAUUGGAAACGAUAGCUAAUACCGCAUAAUAGUAGAUGUUGCAUGACAUUUGCUUAAAAGGUGCAAUUGCAUCACUACCAGAUGGACCUGCGUUGUAUUAGCUAGUUGGUGGGGUAACGGCUCACCAAGGCGACGAUACAUAGCCGACCUGAGAGGGUGAUCGGCCACACUGGGACUGAGACACGGCCCAGACUCCUACGGGAGGCAGCAGUAGGGAAUCUUCGGCAAUGGACGGAAGUCUGACCGAGCAACGCCGCGUGAGUGAAGAAGGUUGUCGGAUCGUAAAGCUCCGUUGUAAGAGAAGAACGAGUGUGAGAGUGGAAAGUUCACACUGUGACGGUAUCUUACCAGAAAGGGACGGCUAACUACGUG